UUCAGCUGAAGCGGAAGCGGCAGAUUCUGUUGGAAGGCAUGGCUGCCUCACUUCAGCUUGUUGAUCCGCUUGGAAAAAGUGGCAGUUCAGUUGGGCUGACCCCUAAAGAUGACAUUGUGUUCUUAUGGUUGGUGUCUCUUCCAAAAGGCCGGAAACUCAUUUCAAGGUAUCUUCAGCUUCUUGUACCUGGCAGUGAACUUGUAAGAAUAGUUUGCAUGGCAAUUUUUCGCCAUUUAAGGUUUUUGUUUGGCGGCUUUCCACCUGAUCUAGAAGCUGCUGAGACUGUCACUGCACUUGCAAAAACUGUCUCUGCAUGUACAAGUCGCAUGGACCUUAAUUUGCUUAGUGCUUGUCUAGCUGCUGUUGUUUGUUCCUCAGAGCAG
rnacentral:misc_RNA from 1 species